rnacentral:rRNA from 1 species
UACGUAGGGUGCAAGCGUUGUCCGGAAUUAUUGGGCGUAAAGAGCUCGUAGGCGGUUUGUCGCGGCUGCUGUGAAAACGCGAGGCUCAACCUCGCGCCUGCAGUGGGUACGGGCAGACUAGAGUGCGGUAGGGGAGAUUGGAAUUCCUGGUGUAGCGGUGGAAUGCGCAGACAUCAGGAGGAACACCGAUGGCGAAGGCAGAUCUCUGGGCCGUAACUGACGCUGAGGAGCGAAAGCGUGGGGAGCGAACAGG